UACGUAGGUGGCAAGCGUUAUCCGGAUUUACUGGGUGUAAAGGGCGUGUAGGCGGGAGAGCAAGUCAGACGUGAAAUUCCAGGGCUCAACCCUGGAACUGCGUUUGAAACUGUUCUUCUUGAGUGAUGGAGAGGCAGGCGGAAUUCCUAGUGUAGCGGUGAAAUGCGUAGAUAUUAGGAGGAACACCAGUGGCGAAGGCGGCCUGCUGGACUGCAACUGACGUUGAGGCUCGAAGGCGUGGGGAGCAAACAGG
rnacentral:rRNA from 1 species